rnacentral:tRNA from 1 species
GGCGGUGUAGCUCAGCUGGUUAGAGCGCACGACUCAUAAUCGUGAGGUCCCGGAUCGAGUCCCGGCACCGCUA